GGGGAUGUAGCUCAGCUGGGAGAGCGCCGCCUUUGCAAGGCGGAUGUCAUGGGUUCGAGUCCCAUCAUCUCCA
rnacentral:tRNA from 1 species